AAUCAUCCCAUUUCUGAAAUGUGUGUAACAGUGUGUUACAGUGUUUGUGAAGUUGUAGGUCGAGUCCGACCGUGACAAAAAUUGAAAUCUCGAAGAGAAGCAAUGGAUUACCUAUGCAUUAUUUGUACUGAAAAUGGCACAAUCAUUUGUUAUAGAUUCCUAGAUUAGGAUUGAGAUUGUGCGAGAAAUGAAGACUUCGAGCAUAGAGAGAGACAUUUCUGAGCAGAGCCCCUCUCGUAGUGACGUUGUUUUAGGCUUUUAGUUUCUGGGUACGACAAUUGAGAAAUGUGCUUCAUCUAAGAUCAAAAAUUAGAAAGAUAAAAG
rnacentral:lncRNA from 1 species